rnacentral:rRNA from 1 species
AUGGACCAUUCCAUCCCUUUUUCCCGUGCAUAUGCAUCGGACUCUGAUGACGAUGGUCCCGAUGAAUAAGUUGAUGCGGAGGGGUUCACGGUGAAGGAGGCCGAAGCUUUCGAGAAGGUAUUUGGUCGGGAUCAUCGGACUACAUUGUUCAAGGAUGUUAGUCUCGCGGAUGAAGCCGUGGUAGAUGGUGGCCAAUGUGUAGCUCUUGGGGUUAGGCCAAGCUCUCACCGUGAUUUGGUAGACGACCAGAACCGGAUUGCUAAAGGUUCUAAGUUCGACAGCUUGUUGGAUUUGAAGAUGUGGCUCGACAACUACUCGGUUACGCAUUAUCGUCCACACAAGAUGGUGCACUCGGACGUCAAUGUGCGCUACACGGUUGCAUGUGCAUGUGAAGAUGAAAAGGAGGUCCAACUUGGACUUAAAAGAGGCCGUGGUGGUGGUAGAGGUCGUGGAAAGGAGGUCCAACAAGGAGUGGCAAGACGCCGUGGCGGUUGUCCGUGGAUUGUGCAUGCAAGACCAUGGAAAGGAGGUCCUACUUGGCAUGUAGUGAGUUGUGUGCCAACUCACAUGUGCCAAGGCAAAAGGGUGGAUGGCAAGAUUGUGUCCCAAGACCACAAACAACUCACGUCCGAGUUCAUCGCUUACAGGCUCUCGAACUCAAUAUCCACACUUCCAACAAUGAGCGUCCAACAUGUCAUUGACCUUGUGAAAGCCAUCUUUCAUUACCAGGUGAAAUACGGCAAGGCAUGGAAGGCGAAGCAAGCCGCAUUUAAGAUGUUGUAUGGUACAUGGGAGGAAGCAUACAACUGA